AGAUAGUCCGGACAUCCUGGCUGCUCGUAAGGUGGCGGCGCACAUCGGCAGCGAACACCACGAGGUGAACUUCACUGCAGAGGAAGGCAUUCGCGCCGUGGAGGAGGUCAUCUUCCACCUGGAGACCUAUGACAUCACCACCAUCCGAGCCUCAGUCGGAAUGUAUUUGGU